UUAUUUUGGUUAUAGGAGUUAAAGAGCAAGACCAAGGCACACGUUAUUCUAGUUCUCCCUCAUCAAUUAAUCAUAUUAAUGCUACACGUUCUUUUGUUGCCUAAUUAGAUAGCCAAAUACACGUUGCUAUUUACCUAGUCAAUCCUCCUAAUUGUUCAGUAGUGGCUGAGAAACAAUAACAACCUUUAAACAUCCAAUGCAUUUAAAUAUGAUAAGGGAACCAUUUUUUUGAGGCUAUGCAAUCAACAUUAGUAGAAAUCAUGGGAGAGUCUUUUCCUAGAAAUUUGAUUUACAAUUCUCUUCCUUGGACUACACGACCAACUCAUCUUUCUCUACUAUCAAUAUAUAUACCCUCAUUUUCAUUGCUCAACUUAAGCCGGUACCAUGCAUUUCUUUUCUCUCACACGUUGAACAGUGUAUUAUGACCAUCAAGGUAUUCUAAUUCCUUGAAUUCAUUAGUUUGGUUUGUUACAUUAAUACAAUUAUCCAAAUCAAGAAAACAAACCCCCUCCCACGCAUAUGGCUUCACGCAAAACCAUCCCUUAUCAAAAAGUUCUCUUAUUAUUUCUUAUGGUCUUUGAGCAUACAUCUCCAACAUUCCAUUGAUUCACAUGUUGUAUACAAAUAUCUUCCAAGUCCAUCGAUCAAUUCCUAAGCCCUCAUCUUGUCAAAUAAUUUUCGUAGAAUUGUGUCUACGCCUUCGUUCACCGUUCGAUUGAGCUAAUUUUUGGGCAGCAUGUUUGCAACAUGCAGUUCUUCAUUUUCAACGGCCUGAUCGUCAAAUUAAUGACUGGAGCGAGAGAAAUCGUGUCUGCACCGUAGCUGUGAGUUUAAGGUGGUUUAGAGUUCGGCUAGGAAGAAAAGAUCUCGAGGUACCAAAGGAGAUAAUGAUGUAUGCUUGAUGUUUUGCUUGAAGUGUGUAUGCGGGGAAACAAAUUUGGGUUUUUCUGAAUUGUAAUUUAAAAUAGUUUUUGAAGUUUAUUACUUUCAUAGUGAACUCGA